UCCCUAAUAAUAGGGCAGUCUCGUCUGAAAAAUUCAACAGACGACGAGGGUUUCGCUCGUUUACCCACUUAAGGGCACAGCUCACGCCACGAGCUGACGACAGCCGUGCAACACCUGUCUUACGGCUCCCUUGCGGGCACUCACCUGUUUCCAGGCGAUUCCGUAGAUGUCAAACCCUGGUAAGGUUCUCCGGUUAUCGUCGAAUUAAACCACAUGCUCCACCGCUUGUGCGAUCCCCCGCCAAUUCCUUUGAGUUUUAGUCUUGCGACCGUACUUCCCAGGCGGCAGACUUAACGCGUUAGCUACGCUACAAGAAGGGUCGAUACUUCUGAUAGCUAGUCUGCAUAGUUUACGGCGUGGACUAC
rnacentral:misc_RNA from 1 species